rnacentral:rRNA from 1 species
AUUGAACGCUGGCGGCAGGCCUAACACAUGCAAGUCGAGCGGAUGAAGAGAGCUUGCUCUCUGAUUUAGCGGCGGACGGGUGAGUAAUGCCUAGGAAUCUGCCUGGUCGUGGGGGAUAACGUUCCGAAAGGAACGCUAAUACCGCAUACGUCCUACGGGAGAAAGCAGGGGACCUUCGGGCCUUGCGCUACCAGAUGAGCCUAGGUCGGAUUAGCUAGUUGGUGAGGUAAUGGCUCACCAAGGCGACGAUCCGUAACUGGUCGGAGAGGAUGAUCAGUCACCCUGGAACUGGAACACGGUCCAGACUCCAACGGGAGGCAGCAGUGGGGAAUAUUGGACAAUGGGCGAAAGCCUGAUCCAGCCAUGCCGCGUGUGUGAAGAAGGUCUUCGGAUUGGAAAGCACUUUAAGUUGUGAGGAAGGGCAGUAAGUUAAUACCGUGCUGUUUUGACGUUACCGACAGAAUAAGCACCGGCUAACUUCGUGCCAGCCGCCGCAGUAAAAC